CAGACCGUAAACGAUGCCAUCUGGCGAUCCAUGGGUGUUAUAUAUGACUCCAUGGGCAGCCACCGGGAAACCUUUAAGUUGGGUUCCGGGGGAAGUAUGGUUGCAAAGCUGAAACUUAAAGGAAUUGACGGAAGGGCACCACCAGGAGUGGAGCCUGCGGCUUAAUUUGACUCAACACGGGGAAACUCACCCGGCCCGGACACUGUAAGGAUUGACAGAUUGAUAGCUCUUUCUUGAUUCGGUGGGUGGUGGUGCAUGGCCGUUCUUAGUUGGUGGAGCGAUUUGUCUGGUUUAUUCCGAUAACGAACGAGACUCUAGCCUACUAAAUAGACAACACUUUCUUUGAGUGUUGCGCUUCUUAGAGGGACAAGCGACGUUUAGUCGCACGAGAUUGAGCAAUAACAGGUCUGUGAUGCCCUUAGAUGUUCGGGGCUGCACGCGCGCUACACUGAAAGCAUCAACAUGCAUAUCAACCUACCUCGGAAGAGGCGGGUAACCCUUUGAAACGCCUUUCGUGAUGUGGGAUUGUGAAUUGCAAUUAUUUUCACAUGAACGAGGAAUUCCCCCAGUUAAAGGUCCGAGUCAUCAGCUCGGGUUG
rnacentral:rRNA from 1 species